UUUUUUUCAAUGGUAGUUACAUGAAUUUGUUAAAUGAUGUAUAGAACCUACCAAUUUAUAAGUGUACAUUUUUGGUAGUUUGUUACAUUUAUUCAGCUCUAUUGUUACCCUUUAAACUGUGUACCCACUUGGUACCAUUGUGUAUUGACUAAACCCACUUCAAAAAAUGACCUCCAGAAGUUACUACCUUUUCAUGAAUAUGUUCUAAAUUACAUGUCUGGUCUGUUCUACACACAAAAUUCUAUUUUGUCUCUUAUUCCUCAUUACAGAUUGCCUUUCUUACGAUAAAAUGAGCUUCUCUACAAACACAAUAUAGAUGUCAUAUAUGCUCAAUGUGUGUCUCUGCUUUAUACUACAAUUUGGACAAUCCAGAGCUUGAAUGUCCAAACUAUCCGGAGCAGAUGACAUGGUGUUCUCGAAAUGAGAUCUCCAGAACAGAGGCUUCUCAAUAUCUUUCUCCAAAGGUCAGUAAUGCUUACUUACAUCUUUUUCUUUUUGAUCUAAGCUCAUUUCUAAUGUCUUAGUUCUCAUUUUGAUACAUACUUUACCUAUUCUUAAAUUUGGGGUGAUUAUAAUUAAGUCAGUAUUUACUGUUCUUUACUUCAGGCUUCAUUAGCCUCAGUCAUGUUCAGUUUUGCACAAGUCGUGAAGUCAAUCAUGUAACAUAAAAGUUUCAAUAUAGUAAUGCAUAAAAGUGGAAAUGUGGGAAAGUAUUAGCUCUUCAACUUGUCAGAAGUCCUGUUUUUCUUUGUUUAAUUUUGUAUCCAUUUAAUUUUAUAGCUUGAAUAAAAUGUCAGUACUUUAGUUAAAAUAAACA
rnacentral:lncRNA from 1 species